GAGAGAGAGGGAGAGAGAGAGGGAGAGAGAGGGAGGGAGAGAGAAAAGAAGAGGGGGAAAAAAAGGAAAGAAGAUUUUCUCUAUGUAUAUAAAGAUGGCCACGUUAGCAAACGGACAACCAGACAAUACCAGCCUGAGUAGCAAUCACAGCAACCCCAGCACCAACGGGCAUAUGAACGGAUUAAACCAUAGUCCCGGAAACCCAUCCACCAUCCCAAUGAAGGACCACGAUGCCAUUAAGCUCUUUAUUGGGCAGAUCCCCCGUAACCUGGACGAGAAAGACCUCAAACCGCUCUUCGAGGAGUUCGGGAAGAUCUAUGAACUGACGGUGCUGAAGGACAGGUUCACUGGCAUGCACAAAGGCUGUGCCUUCCUAACAUACUGCGAAAGGGAGUCUGCUCUAAAGGCCCAGAGCGCACUGCAUGAACAGAAGACACUGCCAGGGAUGAACAGACCGAUCCAGGUGAAGCCAGCGGACAGCGAAAGCCGAGGAGAAGACAGAAAACUCUUUGUGGGCAUGCUCAAUAAGCAGCAAUCGGAAGACGAUGUGCGCAGGCUAUUCGAGGCGUUUGGCAACAUUGAGGAGUGCACAAUCCUUCGGGGACCCGAUGGCAACAGCAAAGGGUGUGCAUUUGUGAAAUACUCUUCACAUGCAGAGGCCCAAGCUGCCAUCAAUGCCUUGCAUGGCAGCCAGACAAUGCCGGGAGCCUCUUCAAGCCUGGUGGUGAAAUUUGCGGACACGGACAAGGAGCGUACAAUGAGGCGCAUGCAACAAAUGGCAGGACAAAUGGGCAUGUUCAACCCCAUGGCCAUCCAGUUUGGAGCUUACGGCGCCUAUGCACAGGCACUGAUGCAGCAGCAAGCGGCGAUCAUGGCGUCGGUGGCGCAGGGUGGAUACCUGAACCCCAUGGCAGCCUUUGCUGCGGCCCAGAUGCAGCAGAUGGCGGCUCUGAACAUGAACGGCCUGGCAGCCGCCCCCAUGACACCAACCUCAGGUGGAAGCACGCCUCCUGGCAUAACUGCACCAGCUGUGCCUAGCAUCCCAUCUCCAAUUGGGGUGAAUGGUUUCACUGGCCUCCCGCCGCAGGCUAAUGGGCAGCCAGCUGCUGAAGCCGUCUUUGCUAAUGGCAUUCACCCUUAUCCAGGUGUAUGGCACCAGAUUUCCUUCCAAGAGGCCCCCACCUUUGCAUCCUCCAAGCCUUGCCUCCAGCCACACCUCUGUGCGGCACAGAGCCCCACUGCAGCAGACCCCUUGCAGCAAGCCUACGCUGGAGUGCAGCAGUACGCAGGUCCUGCUUAUCCUGCUGCUUAUGGCCAGAUUAGCCAAGCGUUCCCACAGCCACCUCCCAUGAUCCCACAGCAACAGAGAGAAGGACCAGAGGGCUGUAACCUGUUUAUCUACCAUCUGCCCCAGGAGUUUGGGGAUGCUGAGCUGAUGCAGAUGUUCCUGCCUUUCGGUAAUGUCAUCUCCUCGAAAGUGUUUGUGGAUCGGGCGACAAACCAAAGUAAAUGCUUUGGUUUUGUGAGUUUUGACAAUCCUGCCAGUGCCCAAGCUGCUAUCCAGGCCAUGAAUGGAUUCCAGAUUGGCAUGAAGAGGCUGAAGGUGCAGCUGAAGAGGCCAAAGGAUGCUAAUCGUCCCUACUGAAGGGUUGUGGGAACCACUGGAUACACAGCACUAGCACAGAGCCAGUCAAAUCCACCACAGUCUCGCGCUGAGCUAGGAAAAAAGUUCUCGUAAUGACAUGAAAGUGGAGAAUACAGUUCCCCAGGCCGGCAGCAGCUGAAUGGGCCACAUUUAGAAAAAAAAAAAGUAUAUAUAUAUUAAAAAAAAAAGUGAACUGUUGGAUUACACCUUUGACAUAUCAGCAAAUAUCAGUCAAGCUGAAGACUUCAGACCUAUUCUCUCUUUGAUUGUUUAGACUGUAACAUUUCUUCAAGAAAAGUAUCACAUCUGCUGACUUCGAAGGACAUGCGCUUGAAAACAAACAAACACAUAAAGUAAAAUCAGAGCAGGAGGAAGAUCAACCGGGAUUUCUGAAGAGACACUGAUAUCACCACAGCGGCUUUUCUUCAAACAGGAGAUGCAAACCUGGAUACUGGCAAAGGAGUGCCUGUUUGCCACCGAGGAUGCAGUUACCAUGCGAGACCCAUGGUAACAGCCACUGAGCAUCUUUAUCUGUCAUUCCUUAGCUAUAUAGGGACCAAAGGACAAAACUUUUUACCGCAGACUUGUAGCUGUAUGUAAAAUAUGGAAGUUCUUUCCUUUUCUCUGAGCUGUUCCUAAAACAGUUUUUGAGAGCGAUUAUAUGAAAUAUGUAAAACCUAAAAAAAAAAAAAAAACUUAAAAAAAACAAAAAAAAACCAAAAAAAAAGCCACAAAAAAAACAAAAAAAAAGCCACAAAAAAAUUACAAAUGCUUAAAUGCUUUUAAAACGGCAAGAUAAUAGUUCUUUGAUACUUUGGGAGGUUCUUUGGUUAUACAUUAAUUAGAGUCUAUGAAGCUUUCAUAUGGUUUUCUGUAUACUACGCAAAGAUUGCGUUGUUAAAGGCAGGUAAGAUGGAUAUCUAUGAAAAGCAAAAAAAAAGUAAAUAAAUAAAUACAUAAUUAAGUACAUAAAAAGGCAUAGAAAAGAGAAAGGAAAGAUGGUUGAUAUUAAAUGGAAAACAAAAAGGUUUGUAAAUGCUUCUAACUCUCCCCAUUUAAAAUCCUAAUAGUUGUACAGAAUUUAAAAAAAGAAAGUUUAAAAUACCUAUAUAAUAGAAAAAAUUAGACAACAUAAAAAUAAAAAAAAACAAAAAAGCAAAAAAAAAAUACUACAUAGAAGUUAGCGUUAAUGCUAAAAACAAAGAUGUUGUAGAACUGUAAUUUUUGUAGAGUUUAGAUUGAGCAUAAAUUCCUACUCUCUGCCAAUUGCUGUUGGAUGCUGUUAUUUAUCGAGGAGAAAAAGGAGAAAAAUGGCUAUUUUGGCAGCUUUUUUAACUGCAAGCAUUCCAGCUAUUAAAAAAUAAACAAGACAAGACUCAAUUCUGUAGACAAUGCAAAUGGGAAAAAAACAGCUGUCUUUUUAUCAGACGUUAGUUCUAACUUGAACAACAAAACACAGCUAAACGCUUCAUGUCUUCAUGAUCUGCUGUCCGCAAAAAUCCCAUCAUCCUAUGCUUCAGUAGCUUCCACAUUUGCUCUAGAAACCUUCAGGGCAAGGGAUUAGCCUAGUACCUUAAUCUUAAAAAAGAAAAAAAAAAAAAAAAAAAAAACUAAAAAAAACUUUAAAAACCUAAAAAAAAAAAACCAUAAAAAGUAAACUAAAGAAACAAUCUCUUUGAAGAAUUUCUGAAACUGUUUACAAGGAAUUUUGAAAAACAGGGGGAUGUUUAAAAAAAAAAGAUGCUGGCUCUGUUUUCUGUAAAUAAAUUUGCAUAUUUUGUAGGACUUUUAAUUGUAAUGAUAGAGAAAAAACAAGGAAAACUAUUUAAUGAAAGCACGAUAUUUAUCUUUGGUAAAUGACUUUAGAGCAGUUAAAAA